rnacentral:rRNA from 1 species
UUGACCUCGGAUCAGGUAGGGAUACCCGCUGAACUUAAGCAUAUCAAUAAGCGGAGGAAAAGAAACCAACAGGGAUUGCCCCAGUAACGGCGAGUGAAGCGGCAACAGCUCAGAUUUGAAAUCCGGCCUCGGCCCGAGUUGUAAUCUGCAGGGGAUGCCCCGGGCGCGGCGCCUACCGAGUUCCCUGGAACGGGACGCCAUAGAGGGUGAGAGCCCCGUAUGGUAGGAUGCCAAGCCCUUGUGGGGCUCCUCCGACGAGUCGAGUAGUUUGGGAAUGCUGCUCAAAGCGGGAGGUAAAUCUCUUCUAAAGCUAAAUACCGGCCAGAGACCGAUAGCGCACAAGUAGAGUGAUCGAAAGAUGAAAAGCACCUUGGAAAGGGGGUUAAACAGCACGUGAAAUUGUUAAAAGGGAAGCGCCCGUGACCAGACACGCGGCGGGCGGAUCAUCCGGCGCGAGCCGGUGCACUCCGCCCGCUGCGGGCCAGCACCGGUUCCCUCGGGGGGAUAAGAGCGGCGGGAAUGUGGCUCCCCCGGGAGUGUUAUAGCCCGCCGCACGAUGCCCCCUAGGGGACCGAGGUACGCGCUCUGCAAGGGUGCUGGCGUAAUGGUCACUGGCGGCCCGUCUUGAAACACGGACCAGGGAGUCGUCCAUUACGGCGAGCGUUAGGGUGUCAAACCCCUGCGCGUAAUGAAAGUGAACGCUGGUGAGAGCUUCGGCGCAUCAUCGACCGAUCCUGAUGUGCUCGGAUGGAUUUGAGUAGGAGUCGUACUGGACGGACCCGAAAGAUGGUGAACUAUGCCUGUAUAGGGUGAAGCCAGAGGAAACUCUGGUGGAGGCUCGCAGCGGUUCUGACGUGCAAAUCGAUCGUCAAAUAUGGGCAUGGGGGCGAAAGACUAAUCGAACCAUCUAGUAGCUGGUUACCGCCGAAGUUUCCCUCAGGAUAGCAGUGUUGUUCUUCAGUUUUAUGAGGUAAAGCGAAUGAUUAGGGACUCGGGGGCGCUCUUUAGCCUUCAUCCAUUCUCAAACUUUAAAUAUGUAAGAAGCUCUUGUUACUUAGUUGAACGUGGGCAUUCGAAUGUAUCAACACUAGUGGGCCAUUUUUGGUAAGCAGAACUGGCGAUGCGGGAUGAACCGAACGCGGGGUUAAGGUGCCGGAGUGGACGCUCAUCAGACACCACAAAAGGUGUUAGCGCAUCUUGACAAUAGGACGGUGGCCAUGGAAGUCGGAAUCCGCUAAGGACUGUGUAACAACUCACCUAUCGAAUGCGCUAGCCCUGAAAAUGGAUGAC